rnacentral:rRNA from 1 species
CCCGCACAAGCGGAGGAACAUGUGGUUUAAUUCGAUGAUACGCGAGGAACCUUACCUGGGCUUAAAUGUAGAGUGCAUUUUUUAGAGAUAGAAAUUCCCCUUCGGGGCUUUUCUGCAAGGUGCUGCAUGGUUGUCGUCAGCUCGUGCCGUGAGGUGUCGGGUUAAGUCCCAUAACGAGCGCAACCCUUAUCGUUAGUUGCCAUCUGGUAAUGCAGGGGACUCUAGCGAAACUGCCACCGUAAGGUGAGAGGAAGGUGGGGAUGACGUCAAGUCCUCAUGGCCUUUAUGUCUAGGGCUACACACGUACUACAAUGGCCGGUACAAAGGGCAGCCACUCAGCGAUGAGGCGCUAAUCCCAUAAAGCCGGUCUCAGUCCGGAUCGCAGUCUGCAACUCGACUGCGUGAAGUUGGAAUCGCUAGUAAUCGUAGAUCAGCAUGCUACGGUCGAAUACGUUCCCGGGCCUU